AACUAAGUUUGUUCUGGGUAUAAGCUUUCAUGUGCAUGCACACUUCUUCUUCCAUUUCAGUGUAUCUGAAGAAGUGCGCAUGCACACGAAAGCUUAUACCCAGAACAAACUUUUUUGG